GCAGCGACCUGUCGAGAGCGAGGGGGGAUGUUGUGGCGCCGCGUCGGGAGGAAGUUUUGACAUGUUGUUGUUGUGAGGGCUCCAUGGUGAGCGCAAUCAGCUCACGGAAACUUUGAGCGUGGGUGAGAAGUUUGGCUGGAAUUCCAGCGCAGGUGUUUCAAUUAUGCAUCCCUGCCUUUCUGAUGGAGUCUGGCAGAUCCAGCUCGAGUCUCUUUUAAGGAAAGGAGCUGCUGUUACCCAAAGAUGCUAUUAAAAAGUGAAGCGCUUUCAUGGAGGAAAAUAGAGAUGUCAGCAUCACGCGCCAUUAACCGGGCUAGUCGAGGUGUGAGUGUCUGACUGCAUCCAUUUGGUGUUGGAGGAAGAUGGUAAGCCUGAAGAUAUCUUCUGUCAGCUCUUGCUUAGGAGCAGAGAGAGAUUUCCCACAGCGACUGGUCGCAUGAAAUAUUAAUAAAGAGGAAGUGGACUGGAUCGCAGACACUAAAGUGAGGGCUGAAAAACUAGAUCUCGCUGAGAUGCCUGUCUGUUCUGAAAAUCAGAUGGGAGAUCUGGUCACCAUGGCCUCCAAAGCAUCAGAUCAAACUGGGUUUCUUUAAAAAUAAAUUUCAAAUUUAUAUUGAUUUCAAAUAAAUGAAUGAGAUCAGCUUUACUGUCCCCGAAGGCAAACCAUCUUGUAUUCAUGGUGCGCACCCACACACAAUUACUUUUUGUUCAGUCAUUAUUUGUCAGUAAGGGAACAAUAAUACCACAUAAAUCAUCUCACAGUAGACCUAUAAUAAAAAUAUAACUAUAAAAUAACAUGUUCCUUAUGAAAAAAUAACACUUUUUUUUGCUCAAGGUCUAGUGAGUUGCUUACAUAGAUAUCAAUACUUACUAUUAUAGUUGCGUUCCAGA